UUUCACUCGCUGGCACUCGCUCGAAAAUAAAUUACGAAGGAUAUUCAUAUUUAGAGAAAUUUCAUAUUUUAGUCGCGUUAAUAAUUCGCCGAUUUUAGAUACGCGUGGGUCGUGGAAUUUCGAGCGAAGCGCAAAUAGUCGGCGUAAAGCAACCCAAAGGGCCGCACAUUAGUUUAUAAAUAACUGGUCGAAUGCAUAGGACGAAAUGCAGAACUGUUCUCGAACGCAAGGCACGAAGUCUCUAUUAGCUGUUUUACGAUCGUAUUUGUGGUUAACGCUGCUAAUGAAAAAAAUAUUCUGAUUAUAUCAGUGAGACGUAACAUGGAAUAACAGAACGCAUUUUAGUGAGAUUUUCAUCGUCAAGGAACGUCACUACGAUCGUGAACGAGGAGACAGCUCGGAUAUUUGCGAAUAUAUUCAUAGCACAAAUUUGACAUUACGCAAAGUUUAGUGUUCGAUAAAAGAGAGCGUAAUGUAAACACCGAUAUUUCUUUCGCAUUUAAUUAGCGCGAUGUAUUUGCGUUCGAAUAUAUUGGAGACUCGCUAUAAAUUCGUGCCCAUUUCCUUAACGGCGAGGCAUAAAUGUGGCGUUUAAAUUAUUAAUAGUCUUUAUCUUACCAAUUUUAUCUCAAUCGAUGAUAAAAAUACUAUUCCAGUAUAUAUAACACGCCGCUGUCGAAUCAGAGCAACGAUAAAUAUUCCCUUAA